GCCCCCGGCCCGCCCCCGCCGCUCCUCCCCACUCCCGCCCCCGGCCCGAUCACUGGCCGUCGUGCUGGGCGGACCCCGGGACCGGUCCCCACCCCUGCUCCGCCCCCUCCGGGUAGGAAACUCCGAGGAGUGAUUCACGCGUGAUUCAACCGCGCCACCGAGCGCGGUGCUGCCCUUCGGUCCGGCGGCUCCAGGUGCUGCGGGGAACCGGGUCCCCCGGCCCCCAGCGCUCCCCGCCCGGUCCCCGGGUCGCCCAGACCGGCGACCCCGACGUCCGGCCUGAGCGGGCAGGUCUUGGGGCUGAAAGCGGGGGCGCUUUGGAAGCAGUUCUCGAGGUGGAGGGAAAGGAUUCUUCUCUACCGUUUGGAGACCCAGUGCUGUCCCGGCCGGUGGGAGCGGCAGCACUGACGGGGUCUAACGGCAGGUCAGUGGGAGGUGCUGUUCCGGGAGGAAGAGAACUUGAGAGGGAACGGCUCAGAAGGUGAAGCACAGAGCAUUUUCUGCGACUCUCCUACGUGCCUGUAAGACUCUUCUGCGAAAACUCACUGGGUUCUCCCUUCACCUAAAAGCUCCUGAAACCUCCAUUCUUCAAAGUGUUCUUCAUCAAGAAGGGAUGUUCACAGAAACUAUAAUCCUUAGAAGAAGGAGGACUGCAGACACUGAAGGGGAGAAGAGCGUUUUCCUGGCAAGAGCAGAGUGUUUCAGGAGGAGGUGACGACAGGCAUGGAGAUUGGAAAGAGAGGUGCUGGGCCAAAGGAAAAGAAGCUUCUGGUCCAACAGAGACAAGAAUUUGGAUUGAUGGAGCCUAACAGCAUGAGGAUGCUUCCUUGGGAACCUUGACAACAUAUUGUGAGGAAGCCCAUGCCACACGGAGAAGCUGACAUGGAGAGGAACUCAACCUUCCCGCCAGCAGGCAGUUCCAAUUUGCCAGGCAUGUCUGACUUUUCUCCUGCACUGCCUCCUUCCUGCCUGGGGCAACCGGGGACUCAGCCUCUGCCCUGUGAGAGAAGAGAGACGAGAUUCACCUAGUGAAUUCCUUGUGGCCCAAGUGCAAGAGGCUGGAAGGACCUCCUCUAGAGAAGCACUGCACAGGAGACGCGUCGGCAGAGCGAGGCGCUAAUUAGGACGCGCGCAGGAUCCUGGCUGAGCCGGGGCCUGCGCUGGAGCAGCCGCGGAUUCCGCGCUUCGGUCGGCGAGAUGGGCAUCCCGGGAACCACCACCGCGCAGGUGGUGGACGCCGAGGGCCUGGGAACACGGCGGCCCUCCCGCUGACAGGUUUCUGCAGAGAGAACCCCCCGGAAAAGAGAGUGGAGACCUCAGAUUUAUAGGAAGUGCACAGAUACGACAUGGCUAUUCCUCUUCUUUCUCUUUUGGACUGGUUUGCUGUUCAUCAUGGGCUACUCGAUGGUGGCGGGAGCCACGGGAAGACUCCUCUUUGGCUAUGACAGCUUUGGCAACGUGUGUGGCAAGAAGAACUCCCCUGUAGAAGGGGCCCCUCUUUCAGGGCAGGACAUGACCCUGAAAAGACACGUAUUCUUUAUGAAUUCCUGCAACCCGGAAGUCAAGGACAUGAGGCUCAGUUCCACCAUCCUGUGCGUGUCGAGCUGUCCUGAAGAGCAGCUUGAUACCCUGGAAGAGGUCCAGCUCUUUGCAGACAAGAAUGGGUCCUUCCUGUGUGUUUACAGUUUGAAUUCCAUCAACUACACCCAGAAUCCAAAUGCAGACUCAUUGUGUCCCAGGCUGCCCGUUCCUCCGAGCAAGUCUUUCCCCUUGUUUAACAGAUGCGUCCCUCAAACACCGGAGUGCUAUUCCUUGUUUGCAUCUGUUUUGAUAAAUGAUGUUGACACCCUCCAUCAAAUUCUAAGUGGAAUAAUGUCAGGAAGAGACACAAUCCUUGGUCUGUGUAUCCUCGCAUUAGCCUUGUCUUUGGCCAUGAUGUUCACCUUCUGGUUCAUCACCACCCUUCUGGUUCACAUUUUCAUUGCACUGAUUAUUUCGGGACUGCUGUUUGUCUGUGGUGUCUUAUGGUGGCUGUAUUACGACUAUACCCAUGACCUCAGCAUAGAAUUGGACACAGAAAGGGAAAAUAUGAAGUGUUUGCUGGGGUUUGCUCUUGUAUCUACAGUAAUGACGGCAGUUCUGCUCAGCUUGAUUUUUGUCUUCAGAAAGAGAAUAAAAUUGACAGUCGAACUUUUCCAAGUCAUAAAUAAAGCCAUCAGCAACUCUCCAUUCCUGCUGUUCCAACCACUAUGGACUUUUGCCAUCCUCAUUUUCUUCUGGGUCCUCUGGGUGGCCGUGCUCCUGAGCCUGGGAACUGCAGGAGCUGCACAGGUUAUUGAAGGUGGCCAAGUGGAAUAUAAGCCUAUUUUAGGCAUUCGGUAUAUGUGGUGGUACCAUUUGAUUGGCCUCAUCUGGACUAGCGAAUUCAUCCUUGCGUGCCAGCAAAUGACUGUAGCCGGCGCACUUGUUACUUGCUAUUUCAACAGAAAUAAAAAUGACCCUCCUGAUCACCCAAUCCUUUGGUCUCUCUCCACUCUUUUCUGCUACCAUCAAGGAACAGCCAUAAAAGGGUCAUUUUUAAUCACUGUGGCAAGGAUUCCAAGAACCAUCCUCAAGUACAUUUACAACACUCUGAAAGACAAGCAUAAUGCAUGGUCGACGCACAUGUUCAGAUGCUGCUUCUGCUGUUUCUGGUGUCUUGACAAAUGCCUAUGCCAUCUCAACCAGAAUGCGUAUGCUGCAACUGCCAUUAAUGGGACAGAUUUUUGUACAUCAGCAAAAGAUGCGCUCAAACUCUUAUCCAAGAAUUCAAGUCAUUUCACAUCUGUUAACUGCUUUGGAGACUUCAUAAUUUUUCUAGGAAAGGUGUUGGUGAUGUGUCUCACUGUUUUUGGAGGACUGAUGGCAUUUAACUACAACCGUGCCCUCCAGGUGUGGGCAGUCCCUCUGCUGCUGGUUGCUUUUUUUGCCUACUUUGUAGCCCAUAGUUUCUUAUCUGUGUUUGAAACUGUGCUGGAUGCACUCUUCCUGUGUUUUGCUGUUGAUCUGGAAACAAAUGAUGGAUCAUCGGAAAAGCCCUACUUUAUGGACCAAGAGUUUUUGAGUUUUGUAAAAAGGAUCAACAAGUUAAAAGACACGAGGGCACAGGGGGAGGAGAACUCACUAAGGAACGAGGAGGGAACAGAACUCCAGCCCGUUGUGUGAUAGGUGCCCAUUAGAGUGUUGCCCCUGGAAAGUGUCCUUCUUCUAAGAGCCAUUCACAGAAUAAAUGGUUUCUCAUAUGCAAAAUGGAGAAAAUACCACCUACUUUGGAUUUAGGAGAGGAUUCAACAUAACCAAUGUAAAAAGCACAGCGUAAUGUGGGCACCCUGGAGAGUUACAUGUGAGUACCUAUUAUGACCACAUACACUCUCCAGGCCAUCCAUUUCAGAAGCUCAUCACACAUUCAGCAGAACUUAUGCCAAGCAGUCCUUAAGGCCUGAAGUCUCAAAGAGCCAGCCACAAGUACAGUAACUCAUUUCUCCAUUUAUGCCAAGCAGACAGUCCAGGUUUAACUGGUAAAAAAGGAAACUUGAAUGGCUCCUAUACAAGACAGUGCCACAUGUGGCAGGACAUCUCAACUUUAGGUCACAAGGAGAAAGCUUUUUCAAACCUUAUCCCCCACUCCUGUUGGAUGUGAGCCCUGCCUGCUCUCCAGUGGUUAUGGGAACCUCCCUAUGAGGGGCUGAUCUAUUUUUAACAAGGAAAUACUUCCAUCUUGCAUGGUGUUAGAAUGCUGGCAUUCUCACCAUGCUAGAGCCCCACCUAACUCCUCCUUAGAACACCAGAUCAUUUUACCUACCAAGUUUCAGAGGCAUUAGAAGGAGCAAUUUACUUGGAUCUGGAGCAAGAAAUAAACUUGCUAUAAUAAACGUAUCUCUUUUCUUCUGGUUAGACGGAAAGACCAGCUGUUCUGACUGCCAACACACCAUACUUGUGUUCCUAUAGAAAGGUCCUCUGAUUCUUUUGCUUUCUCAGCAAAACCAACUUUCCUGAAGGAAUGUACUUUAUACCGUACAAAAAAUAUGUCCUUCGAACUUAGUUAAGUGUGGGAUGCCUGCGUGGCUCAGUUGGUUAAGCAUCCAACUUCAGCUUGGGUCAUGAUCUCACUGUUCCUGAGUUCAAGCCCCACAUCAGGCUUCCUGCUGUCAGCACAGAGCCCUAUGUCGUGCCCCCCCCCCCCCCCGCCUUGCUCCCUCUCUAAAAAUUAAACAUUAAAAAGAGAGUAAGUUAAGUGCUAAUUUAAAUGAUCCUUCUCUACUCUUUGCUCCAAGUAUAAAAAGGCACUGCUUACC